GUGAUAAGUCAGUAAUUCAAAAUCAAAUAAAACAGUUACAGUCAGGUAUUGGGGGGUUAAAAAUAAUAUUUCUAAAGUGUUCAUAAGGGAUAAAGGUGCUCAAGUUCAGGUCCUGUUGUUAAAUAAUCCAGGAGUUUGCUGCACUAACACUAAAAGCAGUUGCACAGGUUUGCAUUUCAAAUCCGUCUGCAGUUUCCAAAUCGGUGCGCACAGAUUUUUAUCAACUGUGCAUACAAAUCUGCAAACUGUGGGGUGGGGAUUUUGGAAAUUGCUUUCUAUUUUUUUUAAAUAACUGUGUUAAUUAAUUGUUUUAUUUUAGUGUCUGAAAGAACAACAGACACUUACAGUGUUGCAAACAUUUUGAUGAUUUUUUUCACGACUUCCAUUUCAGCAUAAAUGUCACCUAAGCACCAUGAUUUGUAUUUUAAAAUGAAAUAUUGUUUUGUAUAUAAUUCACAAUAAUUGCUAAAAAUAAAAUCUGCCCCCUCCGUCAGUGUCUCUAGACAACUUUGGUCACCUAGCAACAGACCCAGGAAGUUCUAAAUCUACCUGAUCGUCUUCUAGCAUGCGGAUUGCUUUGUUGUUGUUUUUUAACUCUUGACAGUUUGACCUCUGACCUUUUGUAUCUUUGACAUCUUUUGUAACUUCACUGAACUUUGUUUUUAAAAGUUUCAGACUACAGGAGGAGACUCGGCAUGUCUAAAGGCUUUCUGUGCCGUCAGGGUUGAAAACAAACAGUGAGAGUUUCUCUCUGUGGUCAGCGGGUGUUAAACACAUUUAAAAUGAGGCUGACAGACCGAGGUCAACAUGGGGGAAAGGAAAAUGAUGAAGAAGACGAUUUAUGAAAACAUGUAAAAUGACACUUCUGUUAACUUUUUGUUUAUCAAGAAAAUGUUUGAAUCUGCAUUAAAACUGAAAAAACUAUUUUUUGGUAUAUUUUCUAUUUUUGUACUCAGUCAGAUUCUUCUGAUGAUGUCAUUUCAAAUGUCGAUAAGAGUUAAUAAACUGAGCUUUUAUAUCAA